UACGGGGGGUGCGAGCGUUGUCCGGAAUCACUGGGCGUAAAGGGCGCGUAGGUGGUUUGAUAAGGGUGUGGUGAAAGUCCGGAGCUCAACUCCGGAUCUGCCGUGCCGACUGUCAAACUCGAGGGCUGUAGAGGCAGACGGAAUUCCGGGUGUAGCGGUGGAAUGCGUAGAGAUCCGGAGGAAGACCGGUGGCGAAGGCGGUCUGCUGGGCGUGAUCUGACGCUGAGGCGCGAAAGCGUGGGGAGCGAACAGG
rnacentral:rRNA from 1 species